GAUGAACGCUGGCGGCGUGCCUAAUACAUGCAAGUCGAGCGAACGGACGAGAAGCUUGCUUCUCUGAUGUUAGCGGCGGACGGGUGAGUAACACGUGGAUAACCUACCUAUAAGACUGGGAUAACUUCGGGAAACCGGAGCUAAUACCGGAUGAUAUUUUGAACCGCAUGGUUCAAAAGUGAAAGACGGUCUUGCUGUCACUUAUAGAUGGAUCCGCGCUGCAUUAGCUAGUUGGUAAGGUAACGGCUUACCAAGGCAACGAUGCAUAGCCGACCUGAGAGGGUGAUCGGCCACACUAGAACGGAGACACGGUCCAGACUCGUAGGGGAGGCAGCAGUAGGGAAUCUUCCGCAAUGGGCGAAAGCCUGACGGAGCAACGCCGCGUGAGUGAUGAAGGUCUUCGGAUCGUAAAACUCUGUUAUUAGGGAAGAACACAUGUGUAAGUAACUGUGCACAUCUUGACGGUACCUAAUCAGAAAGCCACGGCUAACUACGUG
rnacentral:rRNA from 1 species